rnacentral:sRNA from 1 species
AGGCUGGAGAUGUGUAUGGAUAUUUUGGCCAAGCAUUACCUCAUAAUCGACAUUAUGGGCUCUGACUCCAGCGAUACUAUCUAAUGACUCGCUUUUCAGGGAAGCGAGAAUUGCGAAUUGCGAAUAUGUUCAGCAGCUUCAUGCGAGGCUGAAAAGUUCAAAUCCAUCUCGGAAUGUCAGUUUUUAAAGAUACCGGCCAAUAUUCCUCCAGGUAGAUAUUAUCCCUUGCGCACUGGCUUACUAAUCAGAGAAGGUAUAGUUAACUAAGUUACGGAGGUUCAUGUCAAAAGUUCUUUCUCACGCUAAAAACGCC